rnacentral:rRNA from 1 species
UACGUAGGGUGCAAGCGUUGUCCGGAUUUAUUGGGUUUAAAGGGUGCGUAGGCGGCUUUGUAAGUCAGUGGUGAAAUACUCUAGCUUAACUAGAGGGGUGCCAUUGAUACUGCGGAGCUUGAGUACAGAUGAGGUAGGCGGAAUUGACGGUGUAGCGGUGAAAUGCAUAGAUAUCGUCAAGAACACCGAUAGCGAAGGCAGCUUACUGGGCUGUAAACUGACGCUGAUGCACGAAAAGUGUGGGGAUCAAACAGG